rnacentral:rRNA from 1 species
AAGGUGGUGAAGCAAUUGAUGCCCCGCUUCCAGGAAAAGCCUCUAAGCUUCAGGUUACCAACAAUCGUACCCCAAACCGACACAGGUGGUCAGGUAGAGAAUACUCAGGCGCUUGAGAGAACUCGGGUGAAGGAACUAGGCAAAAUGGUGCCGUAACUUCGGGAGAAGGCACGCUGGCGGUAGGUAAAGUCCCUUGCGGACGGCGCUGAAGCCAGUCGAAGAUACCAGCUGGCUGCAACUGUUUAUUAAAAACACAGCACUGUGCAAACACGAAAGUGGACGUAUACGGUGUGACGCCUGCCCGGUGCUGGAAGGUUAAUUGAUGGGGUUAGCGUAAGCGAAGCUCCUGAUCGAAGCCCCAGUAAACGGCGGCCGUAACUAUAACGGUCCUAAGGUAGCGAAAUUCCUUGUCGGGUAAGUUCCGACCUGCACGAAUGGCGUAAUGAUGGCCAGGCUGUCUCCACCCGAGACUCAGUGAAAUUGAACUCGCUGUGAAGAUGCAGUGUACCCGCGGCAAGACGGAAAGACCCCGUGAACCUUUACUAUAGCUUGACACUGAACAUUGAGCCUUGAUGUGUAGGAUAGGUGGGAGGCUUUGAAGUGUGGACGCCAGUCUGCAUGGAGCCAACCUUGAAAUACCACCCUUUAACGUUUGAUGUUCUAACCUAGGCCCAUAAACUGGGUCGGGGACCGUGUCUGGUGGGUAGUUUGACUGGGGCGGUCUCCUCCUAAAGAGUAACGGAGGAGCACGAAGGUUGGCUAAGCAUGGUCGGACAUCAUGCGGUUAGUGCAAAGGCAUAAGCCAGCUUGACUGCGAGAGUGACGGCUCGAGCAGGUACGAAAGUAGGUCUUAGUGAUCCGGUGGUUCUGAAUGGAAGGGCCAUCGCUCAACGGAUAAAAGGUACUCCGGGGAUAACAGGCUGAUACCGCCCAAGAGUUCAUAUCGACGGCGGUGUUUGGCACCUCGAUGUCGGCUCAUCACAUCCUGGGGCUGAAGUAGGUCCCAAGGGUAUGGCUGUUCGCCAUUUAAAGUGGUACGCGAGCUGGGUUUAGAACGUCGUGAGACAGUUCGGUCCCUAUCUGCCGUGGGCGUUGGAAGAUUGAGAGGGGUUGCUCCUAGUACGAGAGGACCGGAGUGAACGCACCACUGGUGUUCGGGUUGUCAUGCCAAUGGCAUUGCCCGGUAGCUAAGUGCGGAAGAGAUAACCGCUGAAAGCAUCUAAGCGGGAAACUUGCCUCGAGAUGAGUCUUCCCUGUCGCUUUAAGCGACCUAAAGGAACGUUUAAGACUAAGACGUUGAUAGGCUGGGUGUGUAAGCGUAGCGAUACGUUGAGCUAACCAGUACUAAUGAACCGUGAGGCUUAACCUG